rnacentral:rRNA from 1 species
AUGUUUGCGGACCUCAAAACUUCUAUGUUGAAAGAAGUUCACUCCUCGGUCAAGGAGGAAAUUGAUGCUCGCUUAAAGCCCUCGACAUCCGCCUCAAACUCAUUUGAUCCAAAUGUGGUUCAUGAUGCGGAUGAUUCGAGAGAACCUCUUGCAUCCCCGGCUCGCACUCAAGUUCCCAAGUACAAUGUUGUGGAACCAUUUUACUCACCACAACCCUUGCAGCACCCUCGCAUUAAUCCUGUGGGGCCUCCGCCCCCUUUGAAAGCUAACGCGUUUGCUAAGUGGAAGCUAGAUAUGGAGUCUCAUAUUCGCAGUGCAUCUACACAACUAUGGUGGAUUGUGGUCAAUGGUUUCAACCCCAAGGAUCCCAUGAAUCUCACUCCAAGAGAAGCAGUUGAUGAUCAACUCAAUGCUACCGCCCACCACAUGUUGCGCACCGCGGUGACCGAUGACUAUAGUGACUCCAUUGCUCUCCUCAAGACCGCCAAGGAAAUUUGGGAUUGCCUUGAGGAGGCCCUCGAAGGUGAUGAAGCAAUUCGAAGAUCUCGGUUGGCUUUGCUCAAGCAAGAAGUCAACCUAUUUGUGAGAAAUGAGGGUGAGUCCGCGGAAGAGGUAUAUCGAAGGUUGAAGUCACUUGGGCGAAUGACGAUUUCAUUAAGGACAAGUUCAUUGAUGCUAUGGUUCUCACGGAACAUACCAUGGUGA